rnacentral:rRNA from 1 species
GACGAACGCUGGCGGCGUGCUUAACACAUGCAAGUCGAACGGAAAGGCCCUGCUUUUGUGGGGUGCUCGAGUGGCGAACGGGUGAGUAACACGUGAGUAACCUGCCCUUGACUUUGGGAUAACUUCAGGAAACUGGGGCUAAUACCGGAUAGGAGCUCCUGCUGCAUGGUGGGGGUUGGAAAGUUUCGGCGGUUGGGGAUGGACUCGCGGCUUAUCAGCUUGUUGGUGGGGUAGUGGCUUACCAAGGCUUUGACGGGUAGCCGGCCUGAGAGGGUGACCGGCCACAUUGGGACUGAGAUACGGCCCAGACUCCUACGGGAGGCAGCAGUGGGGAAUAUUGCACAAUGGGCGGAAGCCUGAUGCAGCAACGCCGCGUGCGGGAUGACGGCCUUCGGGUUGUAAACCGCUUUCGCCUGUGACGAAGCGUGAGUGACAGUAAUGGGUAAAGAAGCACCGGCUAACUACGUGCCAGCAGCCGCGGCGAUACGUAGGGUGCGAGCGUUGUCCGGAUUUAUUGGGCGUAAAGGGCUCGUAGGUGGUUGAUCGCGUCGGAAGUGUAAUCUUGGGGCUUAACCCUGAGCGUGCUUUCGAUACGGGUUGACUUGAGGAAGGUAGGGGAGAAUGGAAUUCCUGGUGGAGCGGUGGAAUGCGCAGAUAUCAGGAGGAACACCAGUGGCGAAGGCGGUUCUCUGGGCCUUUCCUGACGCUGAGGAGCGAAAGCGUGGGGAGCGAACAGGCUUAGAUACCCUGGUAGUCCACGCUGUAAACGGUGGGUACUAGGUGUGGGGUCCAUUCCACGGGUUCCGUGCCGUAGCUAACGCUUUAAGUACCCCGCCUGGGGAGUACGGCCGCAAGGCUAAAACUCAAAGGAAUUGACGGGGCCCCGCACAAGCGGCGGAGCAUGCGGAUUAAUUCGAUGCAACGCGUAGAACCUUACCUGGGUUUGACAUGGAUCGGGAGCGCUCAGAGAUGGGUGUGCCUCUUUUGGGGUCGGUUCACAGGUGGUGCAUGGCUGUCGUCAGCUCGUGUCGUGAGAUGUUGGGUUAAGUCCCGCAACGAGCGCAACCCUUGUUCACUGUUGCCAGCACGUUAUGGUGGGGACUCAGUGGAGACCGCCGGGGUCAACUCGGAGGAAGGUGGGGAUGACGUCAAGUCAUCAUGCCCCUUAUGUCCAGGGCUUCACGCAUGCUACAAUGGCUGGUACAGGGAGUGGCGAGCCUGUGAGGGUGAGCGAAUCUCGGAAAGCCGGUCUCAGUUCGGAUUGGGGUCUGCAACUCGACCUCAUGAAGUCGGAGUCGCUAGUAAUCGCAGAUCAGCAACGCUGCGGUGAAUACGUUCCCGGGGCU